rnacentral:rRNA from 1 species
UACAGAGGUCCCGAGCGUUGUUCGGAUUCACUGGGCGUAAAGGGUGCGUAGGUGGCGAUGAAAGUUCGAUGUGAAAUCUCCGGGCUUAACCCGGAAAAGGCAUUGAAAACUAUGUUGCUUGAGGUUUGGAGGGGGGACUGGAAUUCUUGGUGUAGCAGUGAAAUGCGUAGAUAUCAAGAGGAACACCAGUGGCGAAGGCGGGUCCCUGGACAACACCUGACACUGAGGCACGAAAGCGUGGGGAGCGAACAGG